GGGUGAUCUGCCCUGCACUUCGGGAUAAGCCUGGGAAACUGGGUCUAAUACCGGAUAUGACCUCNNGUUGCAUGACUUGNGGUGGAAAGAUUUAUCGGUGCAGGAUGGGCCCGCGGCCUAUCAGCUUGUUGGUGGGGUAAUGGCCUACCAAGGCGACGACGGGUAGCCGACCUGAGAGGGUGACCGGCCACACUGGGACUGAGACACGGCCCAGACUCCUACGGGAGGCAGCAGUGGGGAAUAUUGCACAAUGGGCGAAAGCCUGAUGCAGCGACGCCGCGUGAGGGAUGACGGCCUUCGGGUUGUAAACCUCUUUCAGCAGGGACGAAGCGCAAGUGACGGUACCUGCAGAAGAAGCACCGGCUAACUACGUGCCAGCAGCCGCGGUAAUACGUAGGGUGCAAGCGUUGUCCGGAAUUACUGGGCGUAAAGAGUUCGUAGGCGGUUUGUCGCGUCGUUUGUGAAAACCAGCAGCUCAACUGCUGGCUUGCAGGCGAUACGGGCAGACUUGAGUACUGCAGGGGAGACUGGAAUUCCUGGU
rnacentral:rRNA from 1 species